rnacentral:tRNA from 1 species
CGCGGGGUGGAGCAGCCUGGUAGCUCGUCGGGCUCAUAACCCGAAGGUCGUCAGUUCAAAUCUGGCACCCGCAACCA